rnacentral:misc_RNA from 1 species
CUGAGUUGCAAAACUCCCAAACCACUGUGAAGCAUUCUAGUACGGUUGCCUCGGCGGGUGGCCCCAGGGUGGGGCCACUACUCUCCCUCCGGGGAGUGCUCGCCGUUGGUUAGACACUAUUGAAACUCUGGCAUCUCUGAGUCAACUCUAAAUAAUCA